AUUUUUAACCAUAUGCAUUUUUAUCAUCAAAUAAAGUCACCAUAAUUAUGCAUAUAUGCAUAUAUUGUAAAAAAAAUCAACAUAAAAGUCAAUAUUUUACAUGUUAAAGAAAUUUAUUAAAAUUGCAUUUUUUUUCAUUAUGCAUUUUAAAAAAUAAAUUCAUGAUCAUUUGAUUUAUCAUCAAAAUAUCCAAUUGAAUUUUAUUAAUCAUCUUCAUGCAUCAUAAAA
rnacentral:lncRNA from 1 species